CGGUUGAUCCUGCCGGAGGCCACUGCUAUUGGGGUUCGACUAAGCCAUGCGAGUCGAGAGGGUUCGGCCCUCGGCGGACUGCUCAGUAACACGUGGAUAACCUACCCUUAGGUGGGGGAUAACCUCGGGAAACUGAGGAUAAUACCCCAUAGGUCUAGGAUGCUGGAAUGCACCUAGGCCGAAAGCUCCGGCGCCUAAGGAUGGGUCUGCGGCCUAUCAGGUUGUAGUCAGGGUAACGACCUGACUAGCCUACGACGGGUACGGGCCCUGAGAGGGGGAGCCCGGAGAUGGACUCUGAGACAUGAGUCCAGGCCCUACGGGGCGCAGCAGGCGCGAAAACUUCACAAUGCGCGAAAGCGUGAUGAGGGAACCCCAAGUGCUGGCUCGAAAGAGUCAGCUGUUUCCCUGCCUAAAAAGCAGGGAGAGUAAGGGCUGGGUAAGACGGGUGCCAGCCGCCGCGGUAAUACCUGCAGCCCGAGUGGUGGCCGCUAUUAUUGGGCCUAAAACGUCCGUAGCCGGCCUAGUAAAUGCCUGGGUAAAUCGUGAGGCUUAACCUCACGAAUCCUGGGUAGACUGCUAGGCUUGGGACCGGGCGAGGCUGGAGGUACUCCAGGGGUAGGGGUGAAAU
rnacentral:rRNA from 1 species